rnacentral:rRNA from 1 species
GCUUGCUCCCUGGGUGACGAGCGGCGGACGGGUGAGUAAUGUCUGGGAAACUGCCUGAUGGAGGGGGAUAACUACUGGAAACGGUAGCUAAUACCGCAUAACGUCGCAAGACCAAAGAGGGGGACCUUCGGGCCUCUUGCCAUCAGAUGUGCCCAGAUGGGAUUAGCUAGUAGGUGGGGUAAUGGCUCACCUAGGCGACGAUCCCUAGCUGGUCUGAGAGGAUGACCAGCCACACUGGAACUGAGACACGGUCCAGACUCCUACGGGAGGCAGCAGUGGGGAAUAUUGCACAAUGGGCGCAAGCCUGAUGCAGCCAUGCCGCGUGUGUGAAGAAGGCCUUCGGGUUGUAAAGCACUUUCAGCGAGGAGGAAGGUGGUGAGCUUAAUACGCUCAUCAAUUGACGUUACUCGCAGAAGAAGCACCGGCUAACUCCGUGCCAGCAGCCGCGGUAAUACGGAGGGUGCAAGCGUUAAUCGGAAUUACUGGGCGUAAAGCGCACGCAGGCGGUUUGUUAAGUCAGA